rnacentral:misc_RNA from 1 species
GAAAUGCGAUAAGUAAUGUGAAUUGCAGAAUUAAGUGAAUCAUCGAAUCUUUGAACGCACCUGGCGCUCCUUGGUAUUCCUUGGAGCAUGCCUGUUUGGGUAUCAUGAAAUCUUCAAAGUAAAUCUUUUGUUAACUCAAUUGGUUUCUACUUUGGUAUUGGAGGUCUUUGCAGCUUCACACCUGCUCCUCUUUGUUCAUUAGCUGGAUCUCAGUGUUAUGCUUGGUUCCACUCGGCGUGAUAAGUUAUCUAUCGCUGAGGACACUGUAAAAGGUGGCCAAGGUAAAUGCAGAUGAACCGCUUCUAAUAGUCCAUUGACUUGGACAAUACUUUUAUGAUCUGAUCUCAAAUCAGGUAGGACUACCCGCUGAACUUAAGC